rnacentral:rRNA from 1 species
AGACCCGAAACCCGGUGAUCUAGCCAUGGGCAGGUUGAAGGUUGGGUAACACUAACUGGAGGACCGAACCGACUAAUGUUGAAAAAUUAGCGGAUGACCUGUGGCUGGGGGUGAAAGGCCAAUCAAACCGGGAGAUAGCUGGUUCUCCCCGAAAGCUAUUUAGGUAGCGCCUCGUGAAUUCAUCUCCGGGGGUAGAGCACUGUUUCGGCUAGGGGGCCAUCCCGGCUUACCAACCCGAUGCAAACUGCGAAUACCGGAGAAUGUUAUCACGGGAGACACACGGCGGGUGCUAACGUCCGUCGUGAAGAGGGAAACAACCCAGACCGCCAGCUAAGGUCCCAAAGUCAUGGUUAAGUGGGAAACGAUGUGGGAAGGCCCAGACAGCCAGGAUGUUGGCUUAGAAGCAGCCAUCAUUUAAAGAAAGCGUAAUAGCUCACUGGUCGAGUCGGCCUGCGCGGAAGAUGUAACGGGGCUAAACCAUGCACCGAAGCUGCGGCAGCGAACGUAUCACUUAAAGCGAUUCAGCGGGUUACGAUUGACGGAGCGAAGCGACGUCAAAGCGUAUACAAAGUCGAGUCGGUUUAAGGAUACGUUCGUUGGGUAGGGGAGCGUUCUGUAAGCCUGUGAAGGUGUGUCGUGAGGCAUGCUGGAGGUAUCAGAAGUGCGAAUGCUGACAUAAGUAACGAUAAAGCGGGUGAAAAGCCCGCUCGCCGGAAGACCAAGGGUUCCUGUCCAACGUUAAUCGGGGCAGGGUGAGUCGACCCCUAAGGCGAGGCCGAAAGGCGUAGUCGAUGGGAAACGGGUUAAUAUUCCCGUACUUGGUGUUACUGCGAAGGGGGGACGGAGAAGGCUAUGUUGGCCGGGCGACGGUUGUCCCGGUUUAAGCGUGUAGGCUGGUUUUCCAGGCAAAUCCGGAAAAUCAAGGCUGAGGCGUGAUGACGAGGCACUACGG